GCAUCUUUGGUGUAGCGGCAACACACAGCCUUAUAUUAUGUUAAAAUGAAUGAACAGUCGGGCUGAGUCCGGGCUUCGACCCCCGAGGACGCA